CGGCGAGUGAAGCGGCAACAGCUCAAAUUUGAAAUCUGGCCCCCCGGGUCCGAGUUGUAAUUUGCAGAGGAUGCUUUUGGCGCGGUGCCUUCCGAGUUCCCUGGAACGGGACGCCAUAGAGGGUGAGAGCCCCGUACGGUUGGACACCAAGCCUAUGUAAAGCUCCUUCGACGAGUCGAGUAGUUUGGGAAUGCUGCUCAAAAUGGGAGGUAUAUUUCUUCUAAAGCUAAAUACCGGCCAGAGACCGAUAGCGCACAAGUAGAGUGAUCGAAAGAUGAAAAGCACUUUGAAAAGAGGGUUAAACAGCACGUGAAAUUGUUAAAAGGGAAGCGCUUGUGACCAGACUUGCGUCCGGUGAAUCACCCAGCUCUCGCGGCUGGGGCACUUUGCCGGCUCAGGCCAGCAUCAGCUCGCCGUCGGGGACAAAAGCUUCGGGAACGUAGCUCUCUUCGGGGAGUGUUAUAGCCCGUUGCACAAUACCCUUCGGCGGGCUGAGGUACGCGACUCCGCA
rnacentral:rRNA from 1 species